rnacentral:rRNA from 1 species
GGAAUGACUCUCGGCAACGGAUAUCUCGGCUCUCGCAUCGAUGAAGAACGCAGCGAAAUGCGAUACUUGGUGUGAAUUGCAGAAUCCCGCGAACCAUCGAGUCUUUGAACGCAAGUUGCGCCCAAGGCCUUUCGGCCGAGGGCACGUCUGCCUGGGUGUCACGCAACAU